rnacentral:rRNA from 1 species
AACGAACGCUGGCGGCAUGCCUAACACAUGCAAGUCGAACGAGAUCUUCGGGUCUAGUGGCGCACGGGUGCGCAACGCGUGGGAAUCUGCCCUUUGGUUCGGAAUAACAGUUGGAAACGACUGCUAAUACCGGAUGAUGACGAAAGUCCAAAGAUUUAUCGCCAGAGGAUGAGCCCGCGUAGGAUUAGCUCGUUGGUGUGGUAAAGGCGCACCAAGGCGACGAUCCUUAGCUGGUCUGAGAGGAUGAUCAGCCACACUGGGACUGAGACACGGCCCAGACUCCUACGGGAGGCAGCAGUGGGGAAUAUUGGACAGUGGGCGAAAGCCUGAUCCAGCAAUGCCGCGUGAGUGAUGAAGGCCUUAGGGUUGUAAAGCUCUUUUACCCGGGAUGAUAAUGACAGUACCGGGAGAAUAAGCUCCGGCUAACUCCGUGCCAGCAGCCGCGGUAA